rnacentral:rRNA from 1 species
CCCUUAGAUGUCCGGGGCUGCACGCGCGCUACAAUGGUCGGAGCAGAAUGAAAAGAGACGGCUCCGCGAGGCGGGAGCGUCCUUCGGGGCCUCCCGUUCUUAAUGGUUGACCGUUCCCCGGGUCGACGGGCCCGGGAGAUCGGCUGGAAUCUCGAUCGUGAUCGGGACAGAGUCUUGUAAUUGUUACUCUCAAACGAGGAAUUCCUAGUAGGCGCGAGUCAUGACCUCGCGUCGACUGCGUCCCUGCCCUUUGUACACACCGCCCGUCGCUGCCCGGAACUGAGCCGUUUCGAGAAGACUGGGGACUGCGAACUUUGGGCUGGAAAACAGCUUUUUGUUUGUGGAAACCACUUUAAUCGCAGCGGCUUGAACCGGGCAAAAGUCGUAACA